rnacentral:rRNA from 1 species
UACGUAGGGUGCAAGCGUUGUCCGGAAUUAUUGGGCGUAAAGAACUCGUAGGCGGCUUGUCGCGUCGGCUGUGAAAACCUGGGGCUCAACCCCGGGCCUGCAGCCGAUACGGGCAAGCUAGAGUUCGGUAGGGGAGACUGGAAUUCCUGGUGUAGCGGUGAAAUGCGCAGAUAUCAGGAGGAACACCGGUGGCGAAGGCGGGUCUCUGGGCCGAAACUGACGCUGAGGAGCGAAAGCGUGGGGAGCGAACAGG